AUAAAUGGUCUGGUGAUCGUUGUGUAAGGGUGACUCAGCAGUGCAGGUAUGUGAAUAGAGUCCCUGUCAAUCUGCAAAGCAUUCACUGCACUCUGGUGUUUUUCCUCUCCUGUAGCUCUCUUUCGGUGAAGAAAACAUAAAUUGGAGCAAACCAAAAGACGAUAAUAGUUUCCACAUGGAUUAAGAGAAAUUUAUUGGAAAAAUAUCUUCUGCUUCCUAAAGCAGGAGGUGUUAAACGAAAACCUGACACCUUUGUGAACAGCUAAACGCGGUCAUUUUUUUUGCCUGCCAUUUUAAUGGCUACUGGCUGGGUGAAAAUAUUAACACAGAGAAGUUGAUAGUGCUCAAACCACGUGAACGCUCCUGAGCCUACAUCAAUAAAAAAGAGUUAUGUUUCAACAAAAGGGUACCAAGAGAAAAAGGCUCCGAUAUUCGAAACAUCACCAGGCCGAUGUGAAUAUGGCUUGCGGGCCUCGCCAACAUCACCACACAUCGCCCUGUCAGUAUUUUCAAAGAAAAGAGGCUUGGCUGAGCAGUGCCAGCAAGCGGGAAUGUUUCUCCCGUAGAAGUCAAAGGGAUUGUGACAUCACCACCCGCAACACCAACAUCGCAGCUCAUGGGAAUUUUGCUGCUGGUAUAAAAAGUAAUUUGAAUCUCUUUAAGGAUGAACAAGUUUUACAGUACACUUUCCCUUUGAUAUGGAAAUGCUUUAACAUGUCCCUUUAAUGCAAUAUAAUGCUAUGAAGCAGUAUUCACUCUUUUGCAGUAAAGCACAUGCAACAAUGAGAUCCUUCCUGGUGAUCCAGAUUAACAUAGAGCAUUAUACACUAGAAAUCCCUCAAUAACGCAUUAUGAGUUUAAAAAAAAAACAACAAUUCUUUUGCUGAUUAUUGCUGCACGAAUACAUUGCCACUAAUCCUGGGUCCUGGGUGAUUUACUCAAGGUCACGGAGAAUGAGCAGUCACUCUGUAACUGUGUUCUCUUAUUGUUGUAAUCAUUUUGCUCCCUGUAAUGAAUGAAUAAAUAAUAUCUGUGUUCUCUGA